rnacentral:rRNA from 1 species
UACAGAGACCUCAAGCGUUAUCCGGAAUCAUUGGGCGUAAAGCGUACCGAUAGGUGGUUUAAUAAGCCCGGGGUGAAAUACCGAAGCUCAACUUCGGAUCUGUCUUCGGGGACUAUUAAACUAGAGGGGCAAAGAGGAAGCUGGAACAAACGGUGUAGCAGUGAAAUGCGUUGAUAUCGUUUGGAACACCAAUAGCGUAGGCAGGCUUCUGGGUGCCACCUGACACUGCUAGGACGAAAGCGUGGGGAGCGAAUGGG